rnacentral:rRNA from 1 species
UUUCGCAAUGCCCGAAAGGGUGACGAAGCGACGCCGUGUGUGGGAGGAAGGCCUUCGGGUUGUAAACCGCUGUUAGGAGUUAAGAAAUGUAAGGAUGCUAAUACCAUCCUUACUUGACAAAAGCUCCAGAGGAAGUCACGGCUAACUCUGUGCCAGCAGCCGCGGUAAUACAGAGGUGGCAAGCGUUGUUCGGAAUCAUUGGGCGUAAAGAGCACGUAGGCGGUUUUGCAAGUCUGGUGUGAAAGCCCCUGGCUCAACCAGGGAACUGCAUCAGAUACUACAAUACUUGAAGACAGUAGGGGAGAGCGGAACUUCUAGUGGAGCGGUGAAAUGCGUAGAUAUUAGAAGGAACGCCGGCGGCGAAAGCGGCUCUCUAAGCUGUAACUGACGCUGAGUGUGCGAAAGCUAGGGGAGCAAACGGGAUUAGAUACCCCGGUAGUCCUAGCCGUAAACGAUGGGCACUAAGUAGAGGGGUUUU